AGAGUACGUGAAACCGCUUAGAGGUAAACGGGUGGAUCCGCAUAGUCGGCCCGGGGAAUUCAACUUGCCGUACUGGCGGCGUGCGUCGGGCUUCAGGGAUCCGCAAGGACCCGCUCGGCGUUUUCGGCUGUCGUCGGCGAGUGCACUUUCCUCGGGUAGUGUGCCACGACCGGUUUCUGGGGCGGUCAUAAGCCGGUCGGGAAGGUGACUUCCUCUUCGGAGGCAGUGUUAUAGCCCGGCCAGGUCGACUCGUUCCGAGACCGAGGAUUUGCCGCGUCUCACUGCUCCCGGCUCUGUGCCUGCGUUCGACUGGGGAAGCACUGCUCUGCAGUUCUCUCCGACUGCGUGGGUAUUAUCGGUCGGGAAGCACGGGGCGCUCGCGGGUCAGUGGCGAAUCGGUCGGUCCUCCACCCGAC
rnacentral:rRNA from 5 species